CUCCUGCAUCAGGGCCACCUGGGCCGGAACCAGUGCCUUCGGGAAGCGGCAGAGGAACGUGCGCUGCCACCUCCAGGCUGCCCACAGAAGGAGCCUUGCGGACCUGGCUGAAGCCAUCUGGAGGGAGCCAGGCGUGGUGGUGCAGGUCUGAAAUCCCAG